rnacentral:rRNA from 1 species
UGGGAACCUUCCCUAUGGUUCGGAAUAGCCCAGGGAAACUUGGGGUAAUACCGAAUAAGCCCUUCGGGGGAAAGAUUUAUCGCCAUUGGAUGAGCCCGCGUCGGAUUAGCUAGUUGGUGGGGUAACGGCCCACCAAGGCGACGAUCCAUAGCUGGUCUGAGAGGAUGAUCAGCCACACUGGGACUGAGACACGGCCCAGACUCCUACGGGAGGCAG